GACGAACCGUGCGAACGUUAUUCGGAAUCACUGGGCUUAAAGGGUGCGUAGGCUGGUUGCCAAGUCUGUGGUGAAAUCCUCCGGCUUAACCGGAGAACUGCCGUGGAUACUGGCGACCUCGAGGGGGGUAGGGGCUUGCGGAACUGUGCGUGGAGCGGUGAAAUGCGUUGAUAUGCACAGGAACUCCGGUGGCGAAGGCGGCGAGCUGGACCCUUUCUGACGCUGAGGCACGAAAGCCAGGGGAGCGAACGGG
rnacentral:rRNA from 1 species